rnacentral:misc_RNA from 1 species
GAAACGCGAUAUGUAAUGCGAAUUGCAGAAUUCAGUGAAUCAUCGAAUCUUUGAACGCAAAUUGCGGUCAGAGGAUAGCCCUCUGACCUUACCUCUUUGAGUAUCGUCUUCAUACUUAUCUCAAUCUUUGAUUGGAGAAUGAGGUGUCUCACUUUGCAUAAACAGAGUGAGUCCCUUUAAGUAAAGAUAAGCCUUUCUUUCCCUUGAUAAGCAGUGUAUUGCUUUGAAAUAUAAGCAAGCCUGUACAGAACCGGACGGUAAUCCGAUUCUAAAGGGUUCAAUGUGGAUAAUAUAUUUACAUUGCUCUUUAGUAUUGUUUUGCUAGGUUGUGUCACUGGGUUAUAAACAUUGUUUCCAAUAGGAUAAAG